UGGUGAAUAAUUCGGAAAUCACUAAUGGAGGCAUGAGAAUAGCAAAUUAUGAAACUUACUAUAUUAUAGUAGGGGUUAACUACGAUCCAUAAAGAUAAUGAGUUAAAAAGGUACGAAAAGAAAAUGCUACGGUUUAAUAUUACAUCACCAAAAGAAAACCCAAAAUAUAUGGCAUCGUUCAUAGGUCCUCGUACAACUUCCAAAAACCCCGGGCAAGACCUCGAUCCGCUACUCGACCCAUCCCGGUUGCGGAUUACAACUACCAGACAUUAAAAGACAUCUAUAUGAGCUAUACAGCUCAGUAAGAAAUCCGAUGAAGUAUCGAACUUUAAAAAUACGUUGUAUAUAUAAUAUAUAAUAUUAUAUACCCAUUCUUACCCACGUUCCAUACAACAACACAAGACAAUCGGUAAAACCACAUAACUUCACGAAAACACAUCGUUCGUACAAAAUCACGUACUUAUGCAAAAUGACUAAACUGCCCUUUUUUUAUGAAAAUCAUGAAAAACACCUUUUUCGUUUUAUCGGAUCUGUGAAAGAUUAAUUUCUGUAUCUGGAUAACAAACCUGUUACGAGCCGGUUUUCACUAAGUGGGAUCAAACCACAACACACAUCAUCUUAGUUGGAUACCGGCCCUCUAUAUCCGAGUUGUUUAUUACCCGGUAUUCCAUUAAUCUUUCAAUUUUAAAAACCUUUAAAUGCAACUUUUCGAAAUCAUGCUUAUGACCCACACAUAAACAUCACAAAUAUCAAUCAAGUGCCACCAAUUCACACCAAUAUCACAAUUACCACACAUUUAUAGUUUGGGCAAUAAAUCCCCAAAUUCAUACACAUAAACACACGGCACACACACUUAUUCAGCACACACACACACUUAUGCAAAACAUCACCAUUUAAUAUCAAACCAUGCUUGUAAAGCAAGUACCACUUUUUUCACCUUUCAUUUAAUGAACUUAUUACCACACCUAGGUAAUAAUCCGUUCCCAUAAAUUCCAAUAGUAGUAACCACAUCCAUGCAGCCAUUUUAAGGUAUAAAAUCUCAAAUCUCAUCACUCAUAAAUGACAUGCAAAAUGUCUUAAUUUCGAAAUGAUAGCAAACUAAUUCCCGAAAAAUUCCCAAUUCAAAUACUAGAAUUCCUAACUGACCCAAUUUCAGUUUCUGAAAUUAUUUUAAAUUUUCACAAAGUUUCGAAUUUUCUUGAAAUUAAAACUAGAAAAUUCCCUUCUCCUUUAAAAACUCAAAAAAACUCUAAUAUAACUUUAAUUACUUUAAAACCUUUGUAAAGAAAACUUUUCCCCAUUUAAUACUUGCUGGAAAAACAGAUUUGAACUUUAGAAAUGAGAGAUUUUUUGGAAAUUGCAGUUUUGACCCCAAAGUUUCAAGAUUUACACAUGCAACCACACUAGAAGUUCAAAAAUCACUUUUUCAAGAAAAACCCCUAACAAAUCUGAAAUUUUACUUUAUUGGAUGCAGAAAACGAAGUUGAAAAGUUACUUCAUGCAGAAAUUCUGAAAAUUACAUAUUUUACCCCAAAAUCUCUAGAUCUAUACAUGCAAGGCCACUAGAAGUUCAAAAAUCACUUUUUCUUGCGAAACUCCUUUAAAUCCGAGAUUUUUGUUCAAUAAAUGCUGGAAAACAGUUUUGAAAACACAUUUAGGACUGACUCUUCAAAAAUUACAGAUUUUCCCCAAAAAUCUUUCGAUUUACACAUGCAACCCCAUAAAAGUUAAAAAUUCAUUUUUUCUUGAAACCCCUUUUUGAAAUCUGAAAUUUUUUAAUUCUUUUGGCCAAUAAAAGUUGUAUCUACCCACUACCAACAUAGAUGAUGCAUGCAAGAACAAGAAAUCAACAUUAGACACUUCUUUUCCAUUUUCCCCCAAAAAGCCCUAAAUUUUCAAAAUCACUCGCAAUCUUUUAGAAAUUUUUGAAAACUAUUUUAAUACUAUUGAUGCCAUUCAAUUGCAGCAUGAAAUCAGAAUUUCUUACCUUAAAAUCGAAGAGAAGAAAUAACCGUAAGAAGAGAGGCUUUCAAGCACCAAAAUCUAACCAAGCUACUUUGAUUGUAAAUGAGAUGGUGUGAGCUUCAAGGAGGGACGAGUUGUGAUCUCCCGAAAGAAGGCAAGUGGUUUUGAUGGUGUGUUUGGAGUAGUCUAUGGCAAGGGUUAAAUAGGGAACCUUCAUCUUAUUUUUGGGAUUUUCUUGAAAAUGGGAGGUGAGCUAGCUGGAAGAAAGAGAAGGCCGAUGAUGGUGGUGAUUGCUUCGGUGGAGAGAAAUGGAGAAGACAAGUAAUGGGUGUAUGUGGAAGAAGGAGAAAUGAGAGUGUCUUUUGGGUUACUUUGAGCAUGUGAUUAUAGGAAUGAUUAGGGUGUGCCAAGUGUAAAGGCAGGCACACUUACUUACUAAUUAUUUUAUUUAAAAGUAAAUACAACUUGCAUAAAC
rnacentral:lncRNA from 1 species